rnacentral:rRNA from 1 species
GGACUACAAGGGUAUCUAAUCCGUUUUGCUCCCCACGCUUUCAUGCCUCAAUGUCAGUAGCAGAAUAGUUAAUUGCCUUCGCUAUAUUGGUGUUCUUUCAUAUAUCUACGCAUUUUACCGCUCCACAUAAAGUUCCAUUAACCUCUCCUGCACUCAAGUUCGAUAGUAUUACUAACUUCCACGAGGUUGGGCCUCGAUUUCCCACUAGUAACUUAUCGAACCAUCUACGCAUCCUUUACGCCCAAUAAUUCCGGAUAACGUUCGUCACCUAUGUCUUACCGCGGCUGCUGGCAC